GAACUGCGUUAGAGCUGUCAAAUCCACAAGUUACUCUCGGCAUUAUACCUAAAGUGGACAUUGACAUUGGCUGCACGGAGUUGCAUUAAGAAAAAUCCCAUGCAGCCUUUUUUACAAGUUCAACACUGGAAUGUAAUCUACACCGAGAUUAGGAUGAUAUACAAUACCAGUCAAAGGUUUGGACACACCUACCCAUUCAAAGGAUUUUUUGUCUUCUUUACUAUUUUCUACAUUGUAGAAUAAUAGUGAAGACUUCCAAACUAUGAAAUAGCACAUAUGGAAUCAUGUAGUAAUCAAAGUGUUAAACAAAUCAAAAUACAUUUUAUAUUUGAGAUACUUCAAAGUAGCCACCCUUUGCCUUGAUGACACCUUUGCACACUCUUGGCAUUCUCUCAACCAGCUUCAAGAGGUAGUCACCUGGAAUGCAUUUCAAUUAACAGCAGCGUCCAGGCCUCCGACGAGUACGGACAGAAGCCGCAGCUGUUGACUGAGCCCACCUGAUGUGGUGGAAGUUGUCAAACCAGAUCAGAACGCCUUCGAGGACCACCUUCAGGCACGGACUGAGAAGGAUGUGGAGGUUUUUGAACAGCUGCGUGUGUGUCAAACCCCACCACAAUGUCCUGUCCUGGUGAGACAAGGCACUGGAGAAACAGAAGGAGAGCUACCGGAGCAGAAUCAAGAAGGGUCCCAAGUGCUACGACAUCUGGGCAAAUUACUUGGUUUGGAAGAAGGACAAAGGGAAGGCGAGACCUGGGAAACUUCGCUGCUCUUUCGCUCGUAGCUGGCGUCAACAUCUGUUAAGGGUUACUUCGAUGGAAGCCAACAAUCUUCCCCAUUUGGAGUAUUUGGAUGGUCGACCACUGCAAGCCCUGACAACCUACAUAGAUAGACAAAGAAUGUUAAGCUUUGGUUGACAUUUGAUAAAGCAAGAAAUGGCUAUGAUAAGCUUACUAAAAUGUACCUCUUCAAUUUACCGCUCCAAAUGACUUUAGGAGUUAUCCCAUCCACCAGAGCCAGUGAGUUCGGAUCAGUCUGAUUCUCUGUGCUCUAAGUCAGAGGGGGACCAGCUUGAGUUAGGCUAUACCUGUCACGCCCUGGUCAAAAUAUAUUAUGUUUAUUCUUCAUUUAUUCGGUCAGGCCAGGGUGUGACAUGGGUUAUUGUGGUGUGUUUUUGUCUUGGGGUUUUGUGGGAUGUCUUGCGUAGUCUAUGGCUGCCUGAGGGGUUCUCAAUCAGAGUCAGGUGAUUAUCGUUGUCUCUGAUUGGGAACCAUAUUUUAGGCAGCCAUAUUCUUUGAGUGUUUUCGUGGGUGAUUUUUCCUGUCUCUUCACCAGAUAGGACUGUUUAGGUUUUCACGUUCCGUUUGUUGUUUUUGUAUUGUUCGUGUUUUUUCGUUCUUCAUUAAACAUGUCUCAAAAAUACCACGCUG